GGUCGCUUAGCUCAGCUGGGAGAGCACCUCCCUUACAAGGAGGGGGUCACUGGUUCGAUCCCAGUAGCGACUACCA
rnacentral:tRNA from 4 species